rnacentral:rRNA from 1 species
AGAGACUGCCGGUGACAAACCGGAGGAAGGUGGGGAUGACGUCAAGUCCUCAUGGCCCUUAUGGGUAGGGCUUCACACGUCAUACAAUGGUGCAUACAGAGGGUUGCCAACCCGCGAGGGGGAGCUAAUCUCAGAAAAUGCAUCGUAGUCCGGAUCGUAGUCUGCAACUUGACUACGUGAAGCUGGAAUCGCUAGUAAUCGCGGAUCAGAAUGUCGCGGUGAAUACGUUCCCGGGUCUUGUACACACCGCCCGUCAUACCAUGGGAGUG